rnacentral:lncRNA from 1 species
ACCAAGGGUUUUUUUAAGAUGCUUAAUUGCUAAAAUCACUAUGAAGAGAUGAUGCUAGGCAUGGGAAUGGAAAAGGCUUAGAAAAUUUUGAGAAAAGAGAGAAUGAUGCUUGAAGGAUGAUUGAGGGAUGAUGAGUGAAGGAAUGAGAGGGUCUUAUUUAUAGGUGAGGAGAGAGAGAUAGUUUGCUAAAAAUAUGAGUUUUCAUCUUUUGAAGCAUCUUCAAUGGGUGGCCGGUUAUAAAUUGAGCAAGUUGAGUUGAUUUUUCUUUGAUUCUUGGUCAAUUUGAGUGCCACAACAACUCAUGACUGAGACUCGGUCAAGUGCAAAUCUUCAGGUAAAUCUCUAAUUUCUUCAACUCUUCAAGGACCUUAUACAAUUAAACCAAAGAGUGGUUUAUAGACAGCCAUGUGCAACCGAAUUUUGGGUUGACUUGGUCUCAAUUUUGGAUUGUUUUG